AGUACUGUGAAGGAAAGGUGAAAAGGACCCCGGGAGGGGAGUGAAAGAGAACCUGAAACCUUGUGCUUACAAACAGUCAAAGGCCUACGGGCUGAUGGCGUACUUUUUGUAGAACGGUCCGGCGAGUUACUAAUGCCAGCGAGGUUAAGUGGUCAGAAGCCACGGAGCCGAAGGGAAACCAAGUCUGAAUAGGGCGUAGAGUUGGUAUUAGUAGACCCGAAACCGGGUGACCUAUCCAUGUCCAGGUUGAAGGAACCGUAAAAGGUUUUGGAGGACCGAACACACAUGUGUUGAAAAACGUGGUGAUGAGGUGUGGAUAGCGGAGAAAUUCCAAUCGAACUCGGAGAUAGCUGGUUCUCCUCGAAAUAGCUUUAGGGCUAGCCUCGAGCUGGAGUCUAACGGAGGUAAAGCACUGAACUGACGCGGGGCCCAAAAAGGUUACCAACUCAUAUCAAACUAAGAAUGCCGUCAAGAUACCCUCGGGAGUCAGUCUGCGUGAGAUAAGUCGCGUGGACAAAAGGGAAAGAGCCCAGACCGACAGCUAAGGUCCCAAAGUACGUGUUAAGUGGAAAAGGAUGUGGGAUUUCAUAGACAACUAGGAUGUUGGCUUAGAAGCAGCCAUACAUUUAAAGAGUGCGUAAUAGCUCACUAGUCGAGAAAACCUGCGCCGAAAAUGUAACGGGGCUAAAACACGACACCGAAGCUACGGAUUCCUUACUAAGUAAGGAGUGGUAGAGGAGCAUCCUGCAAGGACGAAGCCAAAGUGAGAGCGAUGGUGGACGAAACAGGAGAGAGAAUGCCGGAAUGAGUAGCGAGAUACAUGUGAGAAACAUGUAGGCCGAAUAUCUAAGGAUUCCUGGGUAAAGCUAAUCUUCCCAGGGUUAGUCGGGGCCUAAGGCGAGGACGAGAGUCGUAGUCGAUGGAUAACAGGUUGAUAUUCCUGUACUACACAUAAUCAGAACUGUGGGGACGCAGGAGGAUAGGGAAACCGGGGAAUGGAAAGACCCGGUCAAGCGCAAAGCUGUGGGAGAUAGGCAAAUCCGUCUCCUGUAAGUGAAACGUGAUGAGGACUGAAAAAAAGUAAGGAAGUUUCCGAAUCCACACUGCCGAGAAAAGCCGCUAUUGCGUUAUGUGUACCCGUACCGUAAACCGACACAGGUAGAUGAGGAGAAAAUCCACAGGCCGACGGGAGAAGUGUUGUUAAGGAACUCGGCAAAAUGACCCCGUAACUUCGGGAUAAGGGGAGCCUCGCAAGAGGCCGCAGAAAAGAGGCACAAGCAACUGUUUAGCAAAAACAUAGGUCUAUGCGAAACCGUAAGGUGAAGUAUAUGGGCUGACGCCUGCCCGGUGCUGGAAGGUUAAAAGGAGAGGUCAGCGCAAGCGAAGCUUUGAAUUCAAGCCCCAGUAAACGGCGGCCGUAACUAUAACGGUCCUAAGGUAGCGAAAUUCCUUGUCAGGUAAGUUCUGACCCGC
rnacentral:rRNA from 1 species